rnacentral:rRNA from 1 species
AGUGAACGCUGGCGGUAGGCCUAACACAUGCAAGUCGAACGGCAGCACAGUAAGAGCUUGCUCUUACGGGUGGCGAGUGGCGGACGGGUGAGGAAUACAUCGGAAUCUACUUUUUCGUGGGGGAUAACGUAGGGAAACUUACGCUAAUACCGCAUACGACCUACGGGUGAAAGCAGGGGAUCUUCGGACCUUGCGCGAUUGAAUGAGCCGAUGUCGGAUUAGCGAGUUGGCGGGGUAAAGGCCCACCAAGGCGACGAUCCGUAGCUGGUCUGAGAGGAUGAUCAGCCACACUGGAACUGAGACACGGUCCAGCAUCCUACGGGAGGCAGCAGUGGGGAAUAUUGGACAAUGGGCGGAAGCCUGAUCCAGCCAUACCGCGUGGGUGAAGAAGGCCUUCGGGUUGUAAAGCCCUUUUGUUGGGAAAGAAAAGCAGCAGGUUAAUACCCAGCUGUUCUGACGGUACCCAAAGAAUAAGCACCGGCUAACUUCGUG